rnacentral:rRNA from 1 species
UACGUAGGCGGCAAGCGUUGUCCGGAAUUAUUGGGCGUAAAGGGAGCGCAGGCGGGAAACUAAGCGGAUCUUAAAAGUGCGGGGCUCAACCCCGUGAUGGGGUCCGAACUGGUUUUCUUGAGUGCAGUUGAGGCAGGCGGAAUUCGUGGUGUAGCGGUGAAAUGCUUAGAUAUCGGGAGGAACACCAGUGGCGAAGGCGCCUUUCUGGACUGUGUCUGACGCUGAGAUGCGAAAGCCAGGGUAGCAAACGGG